rnacentral:tRNA from 2 species
GGAGAGGUGCCUGAGUGGCCGAAAGGAGCGGUUUGCUAAACCGUCGUAGUGCCUUAAAGCGCUACCGGGGGUUCGAAUCCCCCUCUCUCCG